rnacentral:lncRNA from 1 species
UGGUAGUACCAAAACAGAUGUAGCAUAUAGGUGUGGCGAUUUUGCGUCAAGAGGAUUGUAUUUUAUUCAGUUCAUUCAUUUCUUUCAAUCUCGAUCUGAUUUGGUCAGUCACUGGUUCUUAGGAAAGAAAGGAAGGAUCAGAAAAGAAAUUAAGUGCUCUCCCUUUUUUUUUGUUUUCUUUUACCAAGACGACACGCACUUGAUUCUUGGGCACAUGAAAAGAAG